UCUUGGUCAUUUAGAGGAAGUAAAAGUCGUAACAAGGUUUCCGUAGGUGAACCUGCGGAAGGAUCAUUAUUGAAAUAAACCUGAUGAGUUGCUGCUGGUUCUCUAGGGAGCAUGUGCACACUUGUCAUCUUUAUAUCUCCACCUGUGCACCUUUUGUAGACCUGGAUAUCCCUCUGAAUGCUAGUCACUCAGGUUUGAGGAUUGACYUUAUGUCUCUCCUUGCAUUUCCAGGCCUAUGUUUCUUUAUAUACCCAAUGUAUGUCAUAGAAUGUAAUCAAUGGGCCUUUGUGCCUAUAAACCUAUACAACUUUCAGCAACGGAUCUCUUGGCUCUCGCAUCGAUGAAGAACGCAGCGAAAUGCGAUAAGUAAUGUGAAUUGCAGAAUUCAGUGAAUCAUCGAAUCUUUGAACGCACCUUGCGCUCCUUGGUAUUCCGAGGAGCAUGCCUGUUUGAGUGUCAUUAAUAUAUCAACCUCUUCAACUUUUGUUUGUCGGGUGUUGGAUUUGGGGGUCUUUUUUGCUGGUCUUGUAUCCUACAGGUCAGCUCCCCUGAAAUACAUUAGCAGAACAAUUUGUGAACCGUUCAUUGGUGUGAUAACUAUCUACGCUAUUGACGUGAAACAGGUUCAGCUUCUAACAGUCCAUUGACUUGGACAACUUUUCAUUAAUGUGACCUCAAAUCAGGUAGGACUACCCGCUGAACUUAAGCAUAUCAAUAA
rnacentral:rRNA from 1 species